rnacentral:rRNA from 1 species
GGGGAAUUUUGGACAAUGGGGGAAACCCUGAUCCAGCAAUGCCGCGUGAGUGAAGAAGGCCUUCGGGUUGUAAAGCUCUUUUGUCAGGGAAGAAACACCGGCUCUAACACAGUCCGGGAAUGACGGUACCUGAAGGAUAAGCACCGGCUAACUACGUGCCAGCAGCCGCGGUAAUACGUAGGGUGCGAGCGUUAAUCGGAAUUACUGGGCGUAAAGCGUGCGCAGGCGGUUAUACAAGACAGGCGUGAAAUCCCCGGGCUUAACCUGGGAAUGGCGCCUGUGACUGUAUAGCUAGAGUGUGUCAGAGGGGGGUAGAAUUCCACGUGUAGCAGUGAAAUGCGUAGAUAUGUGGAGGAAUACCAAUGGCGAAGGCAGCCCCCUGGGAUAACACUGACGCUCAUGCACGAAAGCGUGGGGAGCAAAC